rnacentral:rRNA from 1 species
UACGUAGGGUGCGAGCGUUAAUCGAAAUUACUGGGCGUAAAGCGUGCGCAGGCGGCUUUGCAAGACAGAGGUGAAAUCCCCGGGCUCAACCUGGGAACUGCCUUUGUGACUGCAAGGCUAGAGUACGGCAGAGGGGGAUGGAAUUCCGCGUGUAGCAGUGAAAUGCGUAGAUAUGCGGAGGAACACCGAUGGCGAAGGCAAUCCCCUGGGCCUGUACUGACGCUCAUGCACGAAAGCGUGGGGAGCAAACAGGAUUAGAUACCCUGGUAGUCAAGGGCG